ensembl:lncRNA
GCCAGCCCUGGCCAGUCUUGGGGGAGGAGCUGCAUUACAUACAGACUUCGGAGGCCUCGCAGAAGAGAGAAAGAGAAGCUUGGAGGUAAUGGCUGUCGUGAAAAGAUAGUUAUUUUCGGAGAUUUCUGGAGACUUGGCAGUAAAGCUUAGGUUAAUGUCUGAGAUGCACAUGGCCUGCGGAAUCUGUGUAUGACACCAGUUGAGCCUCAGAAGGGCAGCACGACCACAAAACGGCCAAACAGGGAGAAGGCUCUGCUGAACAAGCAGGUGGAGUGAGAAUAAAAACAACCGGAUCACAGGGGCAUACCCUGCACUAUCCAUGUGAUAUUGGAAUCCUCAAGAGACAGGAUUCCAAGUGCAGAAAGCCACGAGUACUGAUCAAGAGAACAUAUCUUUCUGUUUGGAACUCGGGGACGGGGCGGAGCAUCCUCUGAGAAGCUUGGAUUUGAGCUGUGCCUGGCCACUCUUGGGGGAGGGGCUGCAUUUCACGAGGCUGCAGCUGACAAGAAGCUUCAAGGUAAUGGCUGUCUUAAAGCUAGUUUUUUUUCUGGGAUUUCUUUGGGCUUUAGUGUUAC